rnacentral:rRNA from 1 species
UGCGAAAGUUCGUGUGCGUUCGCCGGGGUUUCGGCUUCGGCGGGCGUUUCGCGAGUGCGCGUUCUUUUCUGGCCGACUCGCCGGACGGUAUGCGAAGCGGUGAUCGCGGCGGCCUCUCGUCAGCGCCGUCGCGUUACCGGUCUGCGACGAAUCUUCGGGCCUCUUUCCGACCCGUCUUGAAACACGGACCAAGGAGUCUAACGUGCGCGCGAGUCGCGGGGUGUCGAGCGGCUGGCGGCGUUCGCUUGCGGGCGUCGUCGGCCGUUCGUUACAAUACGAAACCCGUCUCGUUUUACGAAAGGCGCAAUGAAAGUGAAUUUACGGGGAAGAUGACGUUACCGAGUUCACGUUCCGCGCUCUCGAAGCGCGGCCGGUCGUCCGCAUUCCCAGGGCGUCCCAAUGGCCCGGCGGCGUUGCGGACUGUCGUUCCUUCGGGGGCGGCGGUCGGGCGUCGUCGAACCGGGGCGCACCUAUAGCGUGCACGUUGGUACCCGAAAGAUGGUGAACUAUGCCCGG